AACGAACGCUGGCGGCGCGCUUAACACAUGCAAGUCGAACGCGAAAAGCAGUAAUGCUGAGUAGAGUGGCGCACGGGUGAGUAACACGUAAAUGACAUGUCCUCGAGACGGGAAUAACCAGCCGAAAGGCUGGCUAAUACCCGGUAAGCCCACGUCUUUGGAGAUGAGGGAAAAGGGUCGGGAAUUUUCGAAUCCGAUCGCUUGAGGAGUGGUUUGCGGCCCAUCAGGUAGUUGGCGAGGUAAAAGCUCACCAAGCCUAAGACGGGUAGCUGGUCUGAGAGGAUGAUCAGCCACACUGGAACUGAGACACGGUCCAGACUCCUACGGGAGGCAGCAGUGGGGAAUAUUGGACAAUGGGCGCAAGCCUGAUCCAGCAAUACCGCGUGUGUGAAGAAGGCCCUAGGGUUGUAAAGCACUUUCAAUUGGGAGGAAAACCUGCCGGUCAAUACCCGGCAGCUUGACAUUACCUUUAGAAGAAGCAACCGGCUAACUCCGUGCCAGCAGCCGCGGUAAU
rnacentral:rRNA from 1 species